rnacentral:lncRNA from 1 species
GCCCACAGUUAGGAUUUAUACAGAGGAGUACUCCAGAUGGGAAACUUGAAGCAUACUGCUUAAGCCAUUUCAUUCUAGCCGGACCAGACGAUUGCCAUUGGGAUGUAGCGUAUGGGAUAAGCCCCCUGGUACAUAGUUGUGUGUUUUUAGUUGUAGGUCCUUCUAGUUGUGGCAUGUGGGAUGCUGCCUCGGCAUGGCUUGAUGAGCGGUGCCAUGUCCGCGUCCAGGAUCCGAAACAGCGAAACCCUGGGCUGCUGAAGUGAAGCGCGUUAACUUAACCACUUGGCCACGGGGCCGGCCCCAAAACCAGCACUCUUAACUCAACUUCUUUGCCUCUAAUUUGUUUCAAGCCAGCCAGUUUUUCCCAGUGCAAAGAGAAAAAGAAAGAUGUCUUAGGCUUUGCCUAAGGCAAACUAAAGCUCCAAGAAAGAGCAACAUCUAGGAAGAAAGUAAUGAGCUGAAGUCUGGGAAGUUGGAGAGAUGAGACAAGAAAGGAGCUGGAGACAAAAUGAUUCGGAAACUGAAUGAUUCAAAGGCAAGGAAAAG